AUAUCUGAAUAGUCCUCUCAGUCUGUCCAUCGGUCUGAGGAUGAAAAUUCGUGCUAAAAUCCAACUGGGACCCCACAGCUCUCUGUAAGCUUUUCCAAAACUGAGACGUGAAACGUGGAUCCCAAGAAAA